rnacentral:rRNA from 1 species
GACGAACGCUGGCGGCGUGCUUAACACAUGCAAGUCGAACGGAAAGGCCCUGCUUUUGUGGGGUGCUCGAGUGGCGAACGGGUGAGUAACACGUGAGUAACCUGCCCUUGACUUUGGGAUAACUUCAGGAAACUGGGGCUAAUACCGGAUAGGAGCUCCUGCUGCAUGGUGGGGGUUGGAAAGUUUCGGCGGUUGGGGAUGGACUCGCGGCUUAUCAGCUUGUUGGUGGGGUAGUGGCUUACCAAGGCUUUGACGGGUAGCCGGCCUGAGAGGGUGACCGGCCACAUUGGGACUGAGAUACGGCCCAGACUCCUACGGGAGGAAGCAGGGGGGAAUAUUGCACAAUGGGCGGAAGCCUGAUGCAGCAACGCCGCGUGCGGGAUGACGGCCUUCGGGUUGUAAACCGCUUUCGCCGGUGACGAAGCGUGAGUGACGGUAAUGGGUAAAGAAGCACCGGCUAACUACGU